CAGAGUCAAUGUGGAGACUAUAUACAGGGGGUACUGGUACAGAGUCAAUGUGGAGACUAUAUACAGGGUGUUACGGUACAGAGUCAAUGUGGAGACUAUAUACAGGGUGUUACGGUACAGAGUCAAUGUGGAGACUAUAUACAGGGUGUUACGGUACAGAGUCAAUGUGGAGACUAUAUACAGGGUGUUACGGUACAGAGUCAAUGUGGAGGCUAUAUACAGGGGGUACCGGUACAGAGUCAAUGUGGAGGCUAUAUACAGGGGGUACCGGUACAGAGUCAGUGUGGAGGCUAUAUACAGGGGGUACCGGUACAGAGUCAGUGUGGAGGCUAUAUACAGGGGGUACCGGUACAGAGUCAGUGUGGAGGCUAU
ensembl:lncRNA